UGGGGAAUUUUGGACAAUGGGCGCAAGCCUGAUCCAGCCAUGCCGCGUGCAGGAUGAAGGCCUUCGGGUUGUAAACUGCUUUUGUACGGAACGAAAAGACUCCUUCUAAUAAAGGGGGUCCAUGACGGUACCGUAAGAAUAAGCACCGGCUAACUACGUGCCAGCAGCCGCGGUAAUACGUAGGGUGCGAGCGUUAAUCGGAAUUACUGGGCGUAAAGCGUGCGCAGGCGGUUAUAUAAGACAGAUGUGAAAUCCCCGGGCUCAACCUGGGAACUGCAUUUGGAACGGUAGGGCUGGAGUACGGCAGAGGGGGAUGGAAUUCCACGUGUAGCAGUGAAAUGCGUAGAUAUGCGGAGGAACACCGAUGGCGAAGGCAAUCCCCUGGGCCUGUACUGACGCUCAUGCACGAAAGCGUGGGGAGCAAACA
rnacentral:rRNA from 1 species